CACUAGUCUCCUCUCUCUCUCUCUCUCUCAAGUGAAAGCCUGUCAAUUCUAAAAAAUAAACACAGCAGUUCUAAAAAACUCUCAAGUCAUUUUCGCUGGCCAUGAACUCCAAAUAUUACAAAUUCCCACUGCUCGGAAUCGCUUCUGCUUCACUCACUCUCUUAAUAAUCUCUCUCUCUGUCUCAUUCUUUCUACUAACCUUCUUCUUUUCGCCCACCAUAACCUAACCCCAAAUCUAACCAUUUAUAAGCAUAUACUAAUAUACAAUCUUAUAAUAAUAAUAAUAAUAAAGUAGUCAUUCAACAUUUAUUUUCUUAUAGUCUACGGUUUGCGCGUCAAGUAGUCAUUUAUUUUCUUAUAGUCAUUCAAUACUUAAAGGAAACUUAUAGCUGAAAUUUUUUGAAAGAGGAGAGAGAGAGAUGAUGGAACUGGACCAAACGAGGCCGGAGAACCCGGCCAUGACUUUCGAUGAGGUGUCCAUGGAGCGUAGCAAGAGCUUCAUCAAAGCCUUGCAGGAGCUGAAGAACUUAAGGCCUCAAUUGUAUUCUGCUGCCGAAUAUUGUGAGAAGUCUUAUCUUCAUAGCGAGCAGAAACAGACGGUACUGGACAACCUGAAAGAUUAUGCCGUGCGAGCUCUUGUUAAUGCUGUCGAUCACCUUGGUACUGUGGCUUACAAGUUAACUGACCUUCUUGAGCAACAAACAUUUGAUGUCUCAACCAUGGAGGUUAAGGUUUCUUGUCUGAAUCAGCAAUUUCUUACAUGCCAAACAUAUACAGUUAAGGGAGGUCUUCGACAACAGCAGCUGUUGGCAUUCAUCCCAAGACAUCACAAGCACUACAUUUUGCCAAACUCUGUCAAUAAGAAGGUACAUUUUAGCCCACAAAUACAGACUGAUGCAAGACAAAAUCAUUUUCAAGCUAGAUCUCGUCUUCAGCUUUCAGGUUCCCCAGCAUCAAAAACUCUUUCCUGGCACUUAGUUUCUGAGACCAAGUCUACACUGAAAGGGACUCUGCAUGCUAUGACAAGUAAUGAAGAUGCAAAAGCUUCUGGAAAAUCUUCUGCAGUUUUUCAACUCUUGGAUGAAGAAGAGAGUAGAAAAACAAGAUCCUCAGGAGGUCUUGCUCAACUAUCAAGCAGAGGUCCUGCAGCUGGUGCAAUCAUGCCAACAUUUGAUGUCCCACGCAGGGAAUUGUUGGAUACUUCUAAGCCUUUGACAGCAUUCAGGUCAUUUGACAACCCAAGGCAUGAGAUUGUGCGUGCUCCUGUUCGUAGUAAAAGCAUGCUAUCAGCUUUCUUUGUAAAACAGAAAACCCCGAAGUUGAAGGCUGGCUCUGCUUCGUGAAUCCUAGGUGGAGCAAAUUGAAUGUUACCAGUAAAUGUCUCCAAUUGCUGUUGAUAAUGAGUUCUUCUCAGCUCACUAGUUAGUCAAUUUGUCAAAAUUAUAUCUUGUUCCACUUCAAUAAUUCCCCUAGCUUGACUCUGAUAAUGGGCAUGCUGUGCAUAAAGAUCCAGUGAUGAAUAUAAUCGAGAUUGUCUGCUGCCUGAAUUUUUUGCCCCUGGCCUAUGUUAAUAAAGUUGGGUUCUGAUGGUGGUCGAUGUCACAGUGCAUUGUGUUACGUUGCUGAGAUUGAUAGCACAAAUUUACAUGAUGUCAGAUUGGUGUUGUUUGUGAAUACGUUCCGUUUAGGAUGUACUAACACUGAUUUUUGGAAAAUCAUGUAAUUUGAAAUUGCGAGUUCGUUUGUA